AUCCACUUUGUUUAUCCAUUCAUCUGUUGAUGGACAUCUGGGUUGUUUGCUGUUCUUGGUUAUCAUGAAUAAUGCUGCUAUGAACAUUCUUUUCUAAGGUGUUUGUGUGGACAUAUACUUUCAAGGUAUAUUCCUUGGCGUUCAGUUACUGGGUCAUAAGGUAGUUUUAGGUUUAACAUCCUGGGGAAAUGCCAAACUGUUUCCCAGAGCAAUUGUUCUAUUUAACAUGCCCAUUAGCAGCACAGGAGAGUUUCAGCUUCUUCAACUUUCCAACCUCAGGGUUUCAAAGGGGGAAAGGAAAGAGCUGCCUGGGCACAACCUGAGAAAAAAUACAUCUUGUGCCUUUAAAAUGCAAAGAGGACUCAUGACUUGUGCCCCCUACCCCUUCACGUUUCCAGUGCCACAUGGCCACCCAUCCUGACGUACCAGCCCCAAAACUGACUGAUGGACAGGGCACCUCUCCUAGACAAGAGGUCACUGGCUACCUUGUGCUCUAAUCACCUGAUGAAGAGGAAACCUCUCAGUAUCUGGCUUUCAGGAGCUGAAAAUGCAAAAAGAAAGGAUAAAGUUAAGAAAUCUGUGAUCUGAACCCUGCACCCUUAUCCUGUGUUGAAACCAUGGCCACUGCUCUCCUGAUGUUAGGAUCGUGGUGACACUGACCUUGACUUCUCCAUACAGCCCUAUAUACCCUGGUCCAAAGCUGCCUCCAUGCUGGGCCAGCAUGUCAGCCUUCACUUAGAUCUUCACAUCACCUACUCUCCUGGGAACAGGGUCAAACUCUUCAUUAUUUUCUGUGUCACUAUUUAAGUAUCCUAUGAGCUUUAUUUAAAGGAAUUAGGGUAGGACUUCCAUGGUGGUACACUGGAUAAGAAUCUGCCUGCCAAUGCAGCGGACAUGGAUUCAAUCCCUGAUCCAGGAAGAUUCCACACGCUGCAGAGUAACUGAACCCGGGAUCUAAAACUAGUGAGCCCACGAGCUGCAACCAUGAAAGCCCAUGUACCCUAAAGCCUGUGCUCCACAACAAGAGAAGCCACCGCAACGAGAAGCCAGCAAACCACAGCGAAGAGUAGCCCUGGCACGUCACUGCUAGAGAAAGCCCUUGCACAGAAACAACGACCCAGUGCAGACAAAAUAAAUGAAUAAAUUGUUUUUAAAAAUAAAAUAAAGGGAAGCA